rnacentral:rRNA from 1 species
CUCUUCGGGGAUGAUUAAACCGGCGCACGGGUGAGUAACACGUGAGUGACCUGCCUUUUAGACUGGAACAACUUACCGAAAGGUGAGCUAAUGCCGGAUGAGUUAUAUAAGUGCAUGUUUAUAUAGGAAAAGUUGGGGAGACCUGACGCUGAAAGAUGGACUCGCGUCCCAUUAGCUAGUUGGUAGGGUAAUGGCCUACCAAGGCGACGAUGGGUAGCCGGCCUGAGAGGGUGGCCGGCUACACUGGGACUGAGACACGGCCCAGGCUCCUACGGGAGGCAGCAGUGGGGAAUUUUGCGCAAUGCUCGUAAGAGUGACGCAGCGACGCCGCGUGAAUGACGAAGGCCUUCGGGUCGUAAAGUUCUUUCGACAGGGAAGAAAAUGCCUAUAAGUAACUGUGUAUGUAUUGACGGUACCUGUAUAAGCAGCCCCGGCUAACUCCGUGCCAGCAGCCGCGGUAAUACGGAGGGGGCGAGCGUUGUUCGGAGUGACUGGGCGUAAAGAGCACGUAGGCGGUGUUGUAAGUCAUUAGUCAAAGACUAGAGCUCAACUUUAGUAAGGCUAGUGAUACUAUAAUACUAGAGUAUCAGAGAGGAUUGCAGAAUUCCUGGUGUAGCGGUGAAAUGCGUAGAUAUCAGGAGGAAUACCGUUAGCGAAGGCGGCAAUCUGGCUGGAAACUGACGCUGAGGUGCGAAAGCGUGGGUAGCAAACAGGAUUAGAUACCCUGGUAGUCCACGCUGUAAACGAUGGAUGCUAGGUGUUGGGCUUUUAAGUUCAGUGCCGCAGCAAACGCGAUAAGCAUCCCGCCUGGGGA